UACGGAGGGUGCAAGCGUUGUCCGGAAUCACUGGGCGUAAAGGGCGCGUAGGCGGCUCAUGAAGGCUGUGGUGAAAGUCCGGGGCUCAACCUCGGAUCGGCCGUGGCGACUCGUGGGCUGGAGCACUGUAGAGGCGGGUGGAAUUCCGGGGUGUAGCGGUGGAAUGCGUAGAGAUCCGGAAGAACACCCGUGGCGAAGGCGGCUCUCUGGGACGGUACUGACGCUGAGACGCGAAAGCGUGGGGAGCAAACAGG
rnacentral:rRNA from 1 species